AAAGGAAUAGACGGGGGCCCGCACAAGCAGCGGAGCGUGUGGUUUAAUUCGAGGCUACACGAAGAACCUUACCUGGGCUUGACAUGGCGGUGGUAGGGAACCGAAAGGGGACCGACCUUCGGGAGCCGUCACAGGUGCUGCAUGGCUGUCGUCAGCUCGUGUCGUGAGAUGUUCGGUUAAGUCCGGUAACGAGCGCAACCCUCGUCGCCAGUUACACGCUGUCUGGCGAGACUGCCCGUAGAAAGCGGGAGGAAGGUGGGGAUGACGUCAAGUCAGCAUGGCCUUUAUGUCCAGGGCUACACACACGCUACAAUGGCCGGUACAAUGGGGCGCCAACCCGCGAGGGGGAGCCAAUCCGCCAAAGCCGGUCUCAGUUCGGAUUGCAGGCUGCAACCCGCCUGCAUGAAGUCGGAGUUGCUAGUAACCGCAGGUCAGCUAUACUGCGGUGAAUACGUUCCCGGGCCUUGUACACACCGCCCGU
rnacentral:rRNA from 1 species